GUAGGGACCAAGCGUUGUCCGGAAUUAUUGGGCGUAAAGAGAUCGUAGGCGGUUCGGUAAGUCGGGUGUGAAAAUCCAGGGCUUAACCCUGGGACGCCACCCGAUACUGCUGUGACUAGAGUCCGGUAGAGGAGCGUGGAAUUUCUGGCGUAGCGGUGAAAUGCGCAGAUAUCAGAAGGAACACCAGCGGCGAAGGCGGCGCUCUGGGCCGGUACUGACGCUGAGGAGCGAAAGCGUGGGGAGCAAACAGGGAUUAGAUACCCUGGUAGUCCACGCCGUAAACGUUGGGCACUAGGUAUGGGGUCUUAUCAACGGAUUCCGUGCCCGUAGCUAACGCAUUAAGUGCCCCGCCUGGGGGAGUACGGCCGCAAGGCUA
rnacentral:rRNA from 1 species